ensembl:lncRNA
CAUGGGGUGAGGACGUGGGGUCGUGGGUCACAUAGGAGUCCUGCAGGGUCACAGAGUUACGGGGUGAUGUGGGGCUAUGGGGUCAGAUGGGGUUCUGAAUCACAGUGAUAGGGUCAGAUUGGAUGGUAGGGACAGAUGGGGUGACAUGGAGUUAUGGAUCACAUGGGAGUCCUGCAGGGUCACAGAGUUACGGGGUGAUGUGGGGCUAUGGGGUCAGAUGGGGUUCUGAAUCACAGUGAUAGGGUCAGAUUGGAUGGUAGGGACAGAUGGGGUGACAUGGAGUUAUGGAUCACAUGGGUUGUAUGGUCGGGGUGAGGUGGGGGCAAGGAUCCCAGAUUUAUGGGCCACAUGGCGUCAGUUCGCAGCAUGAUGGGGGCAGGAAGAGUCAGGGAGUCACAGGGUC